rnacentral:rRNA from 1 species
GACGAACCGUGCGAACGUUGUUCGGAAUCACUGGGCUUAAAGGGCGCGUAGGCGGGCUGUCCAGUCUGGGGUGAAAUCCCGCGGCUCAACCGUGGAACUGCCUCAGAUACUGACGGCCUCGAGGGAGGUAGGGGCGUGCGGAACUGUAGGUGGAGCGGUGAAAUGCAUAGAUAUGCCAUAGAACACCAAUUGCGAAGGCAGCUGGCUAGACCUAUAUUGACGCUGAGGCACGAAAGCGUGGGGAGCGAACAGG